rnacentral:misc_RNA from 1 species
AAAGUCGUAACAAGGUAACCGUAGGUGAACCUGCGGUUGGAUCAUUACUGAAUGAAUCUGGGAAUCCAGGGUUAAGCGCACCGUCAUGGUGGGCUUAUAUCCUGGUAUUAUCCAAUAUCCACCUUUUGUGAACUGUGUUGUCUCUGGCAGUCGCCUGUCGUUUUGAGGAGUAAAGUCCUCAAUCUGACGAGCCUGCCAACCACUUGUUUAAACAUUUUUCUAUUUUAUAUCUGUCUUACAUUUUAGUAUUUAAAUAUACAAACAACUUUUGGCAACGGAUCUCUUGGCUCUC